CUUUAGUUCAGGAGUGGUCAACUAAGUUUUAUAUUUCUAAAAGGGGUUAUAAUAUAAGUAGACACCUCUAGGUUUAGAUGGUAAAAGGAAAACAAAUAGAAAAGAGAGAAAAAAAAGGAAAAAGGAGCUUAAAACCAAAAAGAAAGAAAAAGAAAAAGAAAAAAAAAAGAACAAAGGCUUUACGGGAUUGUAAUUACCAGCCAAAACAAAACAAAACAAAGGUUUCUUUCUUUUGGUUCACUUCAUCUUCUACCCUAUUCAUUCUUCUCCUAUUUCUUGAUUCAAUACCCUAAAUUCACAAACUUUGUUGAACGUUUAUCACACAUCAAUCUUCUUCCUCUACCUUCAACAAUACUUGAUUUUGUGGGUAUUUAAAGAGUGAAAAUUUGGGUUUCAAAUUGGACGUUUUUGGGGCGAAAAUCGGAUUAAAAAAAGUAGUGAUUUUCGGGUCUUUUUCUUGAGUAAUUUCAUCUCUCUAUUCAAAUCACGGGUUUGUAGAGGAACCCUUUUGACUUGUAAUUGAGAUUGGUUGAUAGUGGUUUGCUAAUAAGGGCUUGAUGGUGACUAGCUUAUAUUGGGGUAAGAGUGUUGAUUUCACCUAGAUGUAGAUCUAUUAAAGUUAAGACUUCCGCUGCAAUAGUUUAGAAUUAUCGUUUGUUAUAGGAGUGUAUUAAUUAAUUACAUUUCCUUUUAGUUGUAAUAGUUAAUAAUUAAUUUAUGUAUUAGUAGUA